rnacentral:rRNA from 1 species
GAUGAACGCUGGCGGCGUGCCUAACACAUGCAAGUCGAACGGAGUUAUUAUUAUGAAGUUUUCGGAUGGAUUAAUAAUAACUUAGUGGUGGACGGGUGAGUAACGCGUGGGUAACCUGCCUCAUACAGGGGGAUAACAGUUGGAAACGGCUGCUAAAACCGCAUAACAUUGCGAUGUCGCAUGACAAUGCAAUUAAAUAUUUAUAGGUAUGAGAUGGGCCCGCGUCUGAUUAGCUAGUUGGUGGGGUAAUGGCCUACCAAGGCGACGAUCAGUAGCCGGCUUGAGAGAGUGACCGGCCACAUUGGGACUGAGACACGGCCCAAACUCCUACGGGAGGCAGCAGUGGGGAAUAUUGCACAAUGGGGGAAACCCUGAUGCAGCGACGCCGCGUGAGUGAAGAAGUAUUUCGGUAUGUAAAGCUCUAUCAGCAGGGAAGAAAAUGACGGUACCUGACUAAGAAGCCCCGGCUAACUACGUGCCAGCCGCCGCAGUAA